rnacentral:rRNA from 1 species
GAGUUUGAUUAUGGCUCAGGACGAACGCUGGCGGCGUGCCUAAUACAUGCAAGUAGAACGCUGAAGGAAUAGCUUGCUAUUCUGGAAGAGUUGCGAACGGGUGAGUAACGCGUAGGUAACCUACCUCAUAGCGGGGGAUAACUAUUGGAAACGAUAGCUAAUACCGCAUAAGAAUACUUAUUGCAUGAUAAGUAUUUAAAAGGAACAACUGUUUCACUGUGAGAUGGACCUGCGUUGUAUUAGCUAGUUGGUAAGGUAACGGCUUACCAAGGCGACGAUACAUAGCCGACCUGAGAGGGUGAUCGGCCACACUGGGACUGAGACACGGCCCAGACUCCUACGGGAGGCAGCAGUAGGGAAUCUUCGGCAAUGGGGGCAACCCUGACCGAGCAACGCCGCGUGAGUGAAGAAGGUUUUCGGAUCGUAAAGCUCUGUUGUCAGCCAAGAAUGUAUGUGAGAGUGGAAAGUUCACAUAG